rnacentral:rRNA from 1 species
UACGAAGGGAGCUAGCGUUGUUCGGAAUCACUGGGCGUAAAGCGCACGUAGGCGGAUGUGUCAGUCAGGGGUGAAAUCCCGGAGCUCAACUUCGGAACUGCCUUUGAUACAGCACGUCUUGAGUCCGAUAGAGGUGGGUGGAAUUCCUAGUGUAGAGGUGAAAUUCGUAGAUAUUAGGAAGAACACCGGUGGCGAAGGCGGCCCACUGGAUCGGUACUGACGCUGAGGUGCGAAAGCGUGGGGAG